CGCAGAUACCAGGUGGCUGCAACUGUUUAUUAAAAACACAGCACUGUGCAAAAUCGUAAGAUGACGUAUACGGUGUGACGCCUGCCCGGUGCCGGAAGGUUAAUUGAUGGGGUUAGACUUCGGUCGAAGCUCUUGAUCGAAGCCCCGGUAAACGGCGGCCGUAACUAUAACGGUCCUAAGGUAGCGAAAUUCCUUGUCGGGUAAGUUCCGACCUGCACGAAUGGCGUAAUGAUGGCCACGCUGUCUCCACCCGAGACUCAGUGAAAUUGAAAUCGCUGUGAAGAUGCAGUGUACCCGCGGCUAGACGGAAAGACCCCGUGAACCUUUACUACAGCUUGGCACUGAACAUUGACCCUACAUGUGUAGGAUAGGUGGGAGGCUUUGAAGCAGGUACGCCAGUAUCUGUGGAGCCGUCCUUGAAAUACCACCCUUGUAGUGUUGAUGUUCUAACGUCGACCCCUUAUCGGGGUUGCGGACAGUGCCUGGUGGGUAGUUUGACUGGGGCGGUCUCCUCCCAAAGAGUAACGGAGGAGCACGAAGGUGGGCUAAUCACGGUUGGACAUCGUGAGGUUAGUGCAAUGGCAUAAGCCCGCUUGACUGCGAGAAUGACAAUUCGAGCAGGUGCGAAAGCAGGUCAUAGUGAUCCGGUGGUUCUGAAUGGAAGGGCCAUCGCUCAACGGAUAAAAGGUACUCCGGGGAUAACAGGCUGAUACCGCCCAAGAGUUCAUAUCGACGGCGGUGUUUGGCACCUCGAUGUCGGCUCAUCACAUCCUGGGGCUGAAGUCGGUCCCAAGGGUAUGGCUGUUCGCCAUUUAAAGUGGUACGCGAGCUGGGUUUAGAACGUCGUGAGACAGUUCGGUCCCUAUCUGCCGUGGGCGUUGGAAGAUUGAAGGGGGCUGCUCCUAGUACGAGAGGACCGGAGUGGACGAACCUCUGGUGUUCGGGUUGUGUCGCCAGACGCAUUGCCCGGUAGCUAAGUUCGGAAUCGAUAACCGCUGAAAGCAUCUAAGCGGGAAGCGAGCCCUGAGAUGAGUCUUCCCUGAUACUUUAAGUAUCCUAAAGGGUUGUCGGAGACUACGACGUUGAUAGGUCAGGUGUGUAAGUGCUGUGAGGCAUUGAGCUAACUGAUACUAAUUGCCCGUGAGGCUUAACCAU
rnacentral:rRNA from 1 species